GAGUUUGAUCCUGGCUCAGGACGAACGCUGGCGGCGUGCCUAAUACAUGCAAGUGGAACGCAUGAUUGAUACCGGAGCUUGCUCCACCAUUAAUCAUGAGUCGCGAACGGGUGAGUAACGCGUAGGUAACCUACCUCAUAGCGGGGGAUAACUAUUGGAAACGAUAGCUAAUACCGCAUAACAGUCUUUGACACAUGUUAGAGACUUAAAAGGAGCAAUUGCUUCACUAUGAGAUGGACCUGCGUUGUAUUAGCUAGUUGGUGAGGUAAAGGCUCACCAAGGCGACGAUACAUAGCCGACCUGAGAGGGUGAUCGGCCACACUGGGACUGAGACACGGCCCAGACUCCUACGGGAGGCAGCAGUAGGGAAUCUUCGGCAAUGGGGGGAACCCUGACCGAGCAACGCCGCGUGAGUGAAGAAGGUUUUCGGAUCGUAAAGCUCUGUUGUUAGAGAAGAACGUGUGUGAGAGUGGAAAGUUCACCCAGUGACGGUAACUAACCAGAAAGGGACGGCUAACUACGUGCCAGCAGCCGCGGUAAUACGUAGGUCCCGAGCGUUGUCCGGAUUUAUUGGGCGUAAAGCGAGCGCAGGCGGUUCUGUAAGUCUGAAGUUAAAGGCAGUGGCUUAACCAUUGUACGCUUUGGAAACUGCAGGACUUGAGUGCAGAAGGGGAGAGUGGAAUUCCAUGUGUAGCGGUGAAAUGCGUAGA
rnacentral:rRNA from 1 species